rnacentral:misc_RNA from 1 species
GACGAAGAUGACAUUGAAGAGGACAGCCCCCAAAAUAAUUCGUCUUGCAGUGUUACGUAGCAAUGGCAGCAGCUCUCUUCGGAGGAGCUGCUUUGGGUCCAGUCUUCGACCAACUUCUCAAAGCAGUUAUUGAUUUUGGCGUAAACAUUGCCACUUUCCGGUCCAAAUUCCUCAGCUUGAAGCAGACAUUGACCGACAUCAAACCAGUAUUCCAUGACAUUGAGAG